rnacentral:lncRNA from 13 species
CUUGUUUUGUCAGCAUGUAUAUUUUUAUAGAAAGGAGCAAAUCUUUGACGAGCUGGCCAGAUAAUCAUCUCUGCUUUUCCUUACUUCUUUGGAGCUGUGAAAGAACACCCUUGGCAGGGACCUGGUUUUAAUCACCUUUGAUUAACACAGAAGCUUUUGAAAGCAAAGGUGCUUUCUGUAAACUGUAGCAGGAUCCAGAGGCAUUAACAUUUCAGAUCUUUUCUCAGCAUAUGAAAUGUCUAAAGCAGAUUCAAGGUAUCAAGCCCAGGGAGACAAAAAUCACUGCGAGGGGAGUUACUUUAAUGCCUCUGACUCAUUUCUCAAAGAAAGUUUUUGGCUUUUUAUUAUUAUUAUUUUUCAGUCUUGAAAAAUUGCAGGCCAUACAAAGCCAGAGCCUUCUGGGUCCAGGGAAUGUUUCAGCUUGCCUUUUAUUUAGUGCAAAAGGAAGGUUUUUAGGCGAGAUUGAGAGAAGCCAGAGGAAGCCUUGGGAAUGGACCCAGAAAUGAUUAAGAGGUUGGAAAUAUCCAGCCCAGAAGAAAAGGCAAGAGUGUUUGGGGGACUUCACUGGGGACCAUGGGUAAAGUUACUUUCUGUCCUUAAGAAAACUUAGUUAAAACAUAGCAUUCCCCUUACCCAGGGAUUCUAUUAUGGGCUGCAUGGUUUGGCUGGGGACAUAGGAGCCCUGAGGCACGCAGGCAAUAGGUAAGGUCUUUAAAACUAGGACUGAUAUCCAUCCUUUGGCCUGGUUUAAGAGAGAACCUGCUUUAAAGUCUCUAUUGCUGAGCUGAUACUGGGCUUCUGGGGAUGAGACUCAGGAAGAAAGGAAAGAAAAGAACGAACAAUAGGGCAAAUGCUUGUUGUAAGGUUUGAAUGAGGCAACUGAGGUUCGAAUGUCGCAACUGAGGCCAGUUAUUGAAAUAAAGAAAUUCAAUCGGCUCCUGGGCGAGGUUCCGCAGUACGACACAAGGGGCCGGAGAAGUUGCGCUGACUUCCUGGGGCGUGGGGUUUUUACGGCUAUGAGGAAGGAGCAACAGCUGGGUGCUCUGAUUGGCUCCAGGGGAGCGGGAUUGGGAAGGGACGGGCUGCUAUUGGUUGGCGGGUUGCUGGGCGGGUUUUCCGGAGCCGGCCAGGGUUGCAUCAGCAGGAGCCUUCCAGGGCAGCAGUGCGGCCGAGCUAGGUGCCGAGUGCAGAGCCUGGUGCCGGGUGCAGAGUCAGAAGUCUUAACUUGGAGCGUAAAUCUCUGGCUGCAAUGA